rnacentral:rRNA from 1 species
CCUACGGGCGGCAGCAGUGGGGGAUAUUGCACAAUGGGGGAAACCCUGAUGCAGCGACGCCGCGUGAGUGAAGAAGUAUUUCGGUAUGUAAAGCUCUAUCAGCAGGGAAGAACAAGGCAGUAACUGACCAAGAAGCCCCUGCGAAAUACGAGCCAGUAUCCCACGUCAGACGUAGGGGGCAAGCGUUCUCCGGAUUUACUGGGGGUAAAGGGAGCGGAGACGGUUAGGUAAGUCUGGAGUGAAAGCCCGGGGUCCAACCCCGGGGCGGCUUUGGAAACUGGGUAACUGGAGUGCAGGAGGGGCGAGCGGAAUUCCUGGUGUAGCGGUGAAAUGCGUAGAUAUCAGGAGGAACACCAGCGGCGAAGGCGGCCUUCUGGACUGCAACUGACGUUGAGGCUCGAAAGCGUGGGGAGCAAACAGGAUUAGAUACCCCAGUAGUC